AAAAGUGUGGGCCGGGAGGGGGGUAAGUACGGGGGGGGCGAGCGUGAAUUGGAAGUACUGGGCGGAAAGCGAGUGUAGGUGGCUCAUUAAGUCACAUGUGAAAGCCCCGGGCUUAACCUGGGAACUGCAUGUGAUACUGGUGGUGCUAGAAUAUGUGAGAGGGAAGUAGAAUUCCAGGUGUAGCGGUGAAAUGCGUAGAGAUCUGGAGGAAUACCGAUGGCGAAGGCAGCUUCCUGGCAUAAUAUUGACACUGAGAUUCGAAAGCGUGGGUAGCAAACAGGAUUAGAUACCCGAGUAGUC
rnacentral:rRNA from 1 species